UUUAGUCAGGCAACGAGCGAGACCCACGCCCACAGUUGCCAGCGUACUCUCCGGAGUGACGGGUACACUGUGGGGACCGCCGCUGCUAAAGCGGAGGAAGGAAUGGGCAACGGUAGGUCAGUAUGCCCCGAAUGUCCCGGGCUACACGCGGGCUACAAUGGUUGGUACAAUGGGUAUCUACCCCGAAAGGGGAUGGAAAUCUCCUAAAGCCAAUCUUAGUUCGGAUUGAGGGCUGCAACUCGCCCUCAUGAAGCUGGAAUCCGUAGUAAUCGCGUUUCAAUAGAACGCGGUGAAUACGUCCCUGCUCCUUGCACA
rnacentral:rRNA from 1 species